UACCAGCUCUCCGAGUGGUGGGGACGCUUAUUGGGCCUAAAGCAUUCGUAGCCGGCUGGACAAGUCCUCCGUUAAAUCCAACGAUUCAAUCGUUGGCCUGCAGGGGAUACUGUCUGGCUAGGAGGCGGUAGAGGCCGACGGUAUUUCCGGGGUAGGGGUGAAAUCCUAUAAUCCCGGGAGGACCAUCAGUGGCGAAGGCUGUCGGCUGGAACGCGCUCGACGGUGAGGGAUGAAAGCUGGGGGAGCGAACCGGAUUAGAUACCCGGGUAGUCCCAGCCGUAAACUUUGCAGGCUGGGUGUUGGUGCGGCUACGUGCCGCUCCGGUGCCGUAGGGAAACCGUUAAGCCUGCCGCCUGGGAAGUACGGUCGCAAGGCUGAAACUUAAAGGAAUUGGCGGGGGAGCACCACAAGGGGUGAAGCUUGCGGUUU
rnacentral:rRNA from 1 species